rnacentral:rRNA from 1 species
GAUGAACGCUAGCUACAGGCUUAACACAUGCAAGUCGAGGGGCAGCGGUAUCGAAAGCUUGCUUUCGGUAGCCGGCGACCGGCGCACGGGUGAGUAACGCGUAUCGAACCUGCCUCAUACUCGGGAAUAGCCUUGCGAAAGUAAGAUUAAUGCCCGGUGUUUUCAGAGUCCCGCAUGAGGCUUUGAACAAAGAUUUAUCGGUAUGAGAUGGCGAUGCGUCCCAUUAGCUUGUUGGCGGGGUAACGGCCCACCAAGGCAUCGAUGGGUAGGGGUUCUGAGAGGAAGGUCCCCCACAUUGGAACUGAGACACGGUCCAAACUCCUACGGGAGGCAGCAGUGAGGAAUAGUGGCCAAUGGGCGGAAGCCUGAACCAGCCAAGUAGCGUGCAGGAAGACGGCCCUCCGGGUGGUAAACUGCUUUUAGUUGGGAAUAAAACGGGGCUCGUGAGCCCCCUUGCAUGUACCAUCAGAAAAAGGACCGGCUAAUUCCGUG